GGCAGCCGGCGGCGGCUGCGGGGCGCAGGCGGAGGAGGGUCCUGUGCUUCGCGGAAAGCCGGGGCGUGGGAAGGGCCUGCAGCGCGAGGUCCGGCUGUGUCCCUUUCAGCGCUUGGGGCCGAGGCCGGGAUGGCUCCUUGGAGCUUCCAGUAUUUACUUAGCACCUACUACGUGCCCAGCCCUGUGGAUACAGAGAUGAACAAAGCCUAAUUCCUGCUCACAAAAGACUUUCUGACUAGUGAUGUGACUACCCUGUUUAUGAAGGGACUGCCCUGGUCUGAAGUAAUUUCCUCUACAAAUUUCAAGUAAAUCCUUGAAAUGGAGCAAAGUCCACUACAAUGCAAAACUUGUCUCUGUUCUGCGUGUGGAGCCCAUCUCAAAUAAAGGUGGGCAAAGCUCUUAUCUCUGGGCAGUGGAUAAAGAAGUGACUGCCUCGUGUUCCUCUGGAGCUUUCUCAGGUUGGUCUGCUGCAUGUAGUAAGGUUUUACAAUCUUUACUUUUGUGCUUUUUGUAAUAGUAUGGACCCACUGAAAAUGAUUGCUUUUUCAUUGAUCCUGAAGUCACAUAACUCCACAUUUUACACAAUUUAAAGUUUGGACUUGGCUCGUUGCCUUAUGAUGGAAUUUUCUACAUUAAGCCCCUAUUUUGUCACGGCACCAGGUUAGGUUUAUGGAAAUGAACAGAACUGACAGGGUCUCUGUUCUCAUGGAACUUGCAAGCUUGCUUUCUUAAUGGAGGA